rnacentral:rRNA from 1 species
GACGAACGCUGGCGGCGUGCUUAACACAUGCAAGUCGAACGGAAAGGCCCUGCUUUUGUGGGAUGCUCGAGUGGCGAACGGGUGAGUAACACGUGAGUAACCUGCCCUUGACUUUGGGAUAACUUCAGGAAACUGGGGCUAAUACCGGAUAGGAGCUCCAGCUGCAUGGUGGGGGUUGGAAAGUUUCGGCGGUUGGGGAUGGACUCGCGGCUUAUCAGCUUGUUGGUGGGGUAGUGGCUUACCAAGGCUUUGACGGGUAGCCGGCCUGAGAGGGUGACCGGCCACAUUGGGACUGAGAUACGGCCCAGACUCCUACGGGAGGCAGCAGUGGGGAAUAUUGCACAAUGGGCGGAAGCCUGAUGCAGCAACGCCGCGUGCGGGAUGACGGCCUUCGGGUUGUAAACCGCUUUCGCCUGUGACGAAGCGUGAGUGACGGUAAUGGGUAAAGAAGCACCGGCUAACUACGUG